GACGAACGCUGGCGGCGUGCUUAACACAUGCAAGUCGAACGGAAAGGCCCUGCUUUUGUGGGGUGCCCGAGUGGCGAACGGGUGAGUAACACGUGAGUAACCUGCCCUUGACUUUGGGAUAACUUCAGGAAACUGGGGCUAAUACCGGAUAGGAGCUCCUGCUGCAUGGUGGGGGUUGGAAAGUUUCGGCGGUUGGGGAUGGACUCGCGGCUUAUCAGCUUGUUGGUGGGGUAGUGGCUUACCAAGGCUUUGACGGGUAGCCGGCCUGAGAGGGUGACCGGCCACAUUGGGACUGAGAUACGGCCCAGACUCCUACGGGAGGCAGCAGUGGGGAAUAUUGCACAAUGGGCGGGAGCCUGAGGCAGCAACGCCGCGUGCGGGAUGACGGCCUUCGGGUUGUAAACCGCUUUCGCCUGUGACGAGGCGUGAGUGACGGUAAUGGGUAAAGAAGCACCGGCUAACUACGUG
rnacentral:rRNA from 1 species